rnacentral:tRNA from 1 species
GGGGAUGUAUCUCAGUGGUAGAGUGCUUGCCUGGCAUAAAUGAGGUCCUGGGUUCCAUUCCCAGUCACUCCCU